ensembl:snRNA U6 U6 spliceosomal RNA
GUGCUUGCUUUGGCAGCAUAUAUACUAAAAUUGGAAUGACACAGAGAAGAUUAGCAUGACUCAAUGUGAUGACAAUUUUCCCCCUUACUCUAUCAUGCUAUUU